CGGUAACAGGAAGAAGCUUGCUUCUUUGCUGACGAGUGGCGGACGGGUGAGUAAUGUCUGUGAAACUGCCUGAUGGAGGGGGAUAACUACUGGAAACGGUAGCUAAUACCGCAUAACGUCGCAAGACCAAAGAGGGGGACCUUCGGGCCUCUUGCCAUCGGAUGUGCCCAGAUGGGAUUAGCUAGUAGGUGGGGUAACGGCUCACCUAGGCGACGAUCCCUAGCUGGUCUGAGAGGAUGACCAGCCACACUGGAACUGAGACACGGUCCAGACUCCUACGGGAGGCAGCAGUGGGGAAUAUUGCACAAUGGGCGCAAGCCUGAUGCAGCCAUGCCGCGUGUAUGAAGAAGGCCUUCGGGUUGUAAAGUACUUUCAGCGGGGAGGAAGGGAGUAAAGUUAAUACCUUUGCUCAUUGACGUUACCCGCAGAAGAAGCACCGGCUAACUCCGUGCCAGCAGCCGCGGUAAUACGGAGGGUGCAAGCGUUAAUCGGAAUUACUGGGCGUAGAGCGCACGCAGGCGGUUUGUUAAGUCAGAUGUGAAAUCCCCGGGCUCAACCUGGGAACUGCAUCUGAUACUGGCAAGCUUGAGUCUCGUAGAGGGGGGUAGAAUUCCAGGUGUAGCGGUGAAAUGCGUAGAGAUCUGGAGGAAUACCGGUGGCGAAGGC
rnacentral:rRNA from 1 species